GACAGAGGGUGCAAACGUUGUUCGGAAUUACUGGGCGUAAAGCGCGUGUAGGCGGCUCUGAUAAGUGAGGUGUGAAAGCCCUGGGCUCAACCCAGGAAGUGCACUUCAAACUAUCGAGCUUGAAUGCUGGAGAGGAAAGCGGAAUUCUCGGUGUAGAGGUGAAAUUCGUAGAUAUCGAGAGGAACACCCGUGGCGAAGGCGGCUUUCUGGACAGCGAUUGACGCUGAGACGCGAAAGCGUGGGGAGCAAACAGG
rnacentral:rRNA from 1 species